AGCAGUCGCCGCGGUAAUACGAAGGGGGCUAGCGUUGCUCGGAAUUACUGGGCGUAAAGGGCGCGUAGGCGGACAGUUAAGUUGGGGGUGAAAGCCCGGGGCUCAACCUCGGAAUUGCCUUCAAUACUGGCUGUCUUGAGUAUGAGAGAGGUGUGUGGAACUCCGAGUGUAGAGGUGAAAUUCGUAGAUAUUCGGAAGAACACCAGUGGCGAAGGCGACACACUGGCUCACUACUGACGCUGAGGCGCGAAAGCGUGGGGAGCAAACAGGAUUAGAUACCCCAGUGUCCCUGUCUCUUAUACA
rnacentral:rRNA from 1 species